CUUUGUCCAGGGGCCCCAUCACGGCUGUGUGGGGUAAGGGUACUCCGGAUCUGUGGGUUGCUGAGUGGGCAGAGACCAGCGGUACUCUGCCCUGGUGCCAGCACUUCAGCUGGAGUAGUCUGGUUGGAGCCCAGCUGUGAAGAGGGGGUGGUAGGCUCCUCUCCCUGGACCUGGUGCUGCUGCUGGAGGGGGAGACCGACUGUCUCCCCUUUUGAUAAACAGUCCUGCUGCUCGGGAUCUG